rnacentral:rRNA from 1 species
GAUGAACGCUGGCGGCGUGCCUAAUACAUGCAAGUCGAGCGAACAGACGAGGAGCUUGCUCCUUUGACGUUAGCGGCGGACGGGUGAGUAACACGUGGAUAACCUACCUAUAAGACUGGGAUAACUUCGGGAAACCGGAGCUAAUACCGGAUAAUAUAUUGAACCGCAUGGUUCAAAAGUGAAAGAUGGUUUUGCUGUCACUUAUAGAUGGAUCCGCGCCGCAUUAGCUAGUUGGUAAGGUAACGGCUUACCAAGGCAACGAUGCGUAGCCGACCUGAGAGGGUGAUCGGCCACACUGGAACUGAGACACGGUCCAGACUCCUACGGGAGGCAGCAGUAGGGAAUCUUCCGCAAUGGGCGAAAGCCUGACGGAGCAACGCCGCGUGAGUGAUGAAGGUCUUCGGAUCGUAAAACUCUGUUAUUAGGGAAGAACAAAUGUGUAAGUAACUAUGCACGUCUUGACGGUACCUAAUCAGAAAGCCACGGCUAACUACGUG